AAAAAUAAGGAAUCGCAAAAUAAUUUUUAAACAUCAAGCAAUUAAAUUAACCACAAUAUAAGCCAAUCGAAAAUUAGAUAUCACAAAAUCACAAUCACUAAACUAAUAAUUUAACUAAAACAUUAAAUAAUUUAAAAUGUAGGGAUUACAAAUUGAAUUUCUAUGUGUUCGUUGCUUAGAAGCAAUCAACCCACAACAAGCUUCGCUUUCGACGCUUCGCCUAACUCUUUUCACAUUUUAUCAUAGGAACAACCACAAUCCAGAAGCAAAUCUGCAACAACUUGAACGGUAGCAAUUCUAGAGCAAAUUGACAACCAUAAGAAAAUUAAAACAAGGAACCAUCAAAUUUAAAGCACUUGACCCUAAGCUAACUCUACACAAAAGACUCAUAAAGGUAGAAUUUAUAGGUUAUAAAUUCUUAACCUAACAUUUUGAAAAAGAUCCCCACUUAAAACUAAUUUGUAAAAGCUUUGACCUCACUUUGCCUUCAUAUUGCUUGUUUAAAAAUGACCUCUUCAGGCUUUAAUGUCGCGACCUUCUAUGCUUGAUGUCGCGAUUUCCUCAUUAGGCAAGUCCCUAGAUCACUCUAAAUGAAUCCAUUGUCGCGACAUUGAACUUUGAGGUCAUGACUUGGAUUGUAGUGAGCUCUAAUCGCUCAUUUAGAAAAUAUGUAAUGUUGUAACUUUGUCAUCAUGCCACUCGAGGUUCAAUUGUUGAAAGUUGGUUCCUUAGUCGAUGAGAAGUAUACAAUGUCACGAUAUCUAUAAGUGAUGUCACAACCUCAGCUCCAAUCAGUUCACUUGUCUCACUCUCCUCAACUAAGUCCCUACAAAAGUCCUGUCCCACAAAUUACUCCAUAAGGAAUAGAAUUGUUGUUUUAUUCAAUUAAACAUAAAAUACUCUUAGAAUUGCAAUUAAAAUGAAAUCUAACUUAAUUAUGAAAAAUAACUAAAGGAUCCACUAAUUACCUGAAAGCAAGCUCUUUAAGCGUUUAAAAAGCCUAAUUUGUCGUAUCAAAAUACGGUGCAUCGUUAAUAUGUCAUGAUCACCUUCUUCACAUGACAGUCACAUUGGUAUCCAUUUUAUGAUUGCAUUGCUCUCUCUAUAUAUUUGAAUGAAUGUCUUUUCCAUAUCUUAUGCUUUAGUGAACUUUCAUUAAGUAUGGUAAAAUUGUGUGAUUCUAAGUAUACUUAUUGAAUGAAAUGAUUCUUGCUUGUUUAUAUGCUUUUCUUAUUCAAUAAUGUAUGUAUUUUAUGAAUUUCUCCUUUUUAUGUUCUUUUUCACGCCCAAUUAUUUUUAUUGUCCCAAAAUUUAAGGAAGUUAGGAUUAAAUUGAAUGGAUUGGCAAAAUCCCGGGCUCUAUUGGGAAAUUUAAAAAUUUUAACAGCUGAAUUAUGAUUAUUUGGAUCUCAAUUCUGGUUUAGUUAGAUUAGAAAUGACUAUCUUCUUAGUAGGAGAAAAAAUAAUUAGCAGUGAAUGGCUAAAAUGGACAAAGAGGCCGUGCAAAACUUGGUUGUAUAUAUAUGAGUAGUGAGGAAAGAAUUCUCCUAAAUUUAGCUCAUAAUCUCUUUCUCAUUUGCAACGUAUUCUUCGGUUGCUCCAAAGGAAAAUAUGAAGAACAGGUUAAAGAAAGCUUUGCAUAUGGUGGUAAACAUGGGGUUCGAAGUUAGGAAAGUCGAAAAUUCAAUAAGUUGGUAUGUCCUAAGUCCCCCAUGUACUCGUCGUGGGUUAGAGGAAAAGGAAGUAAGAAUUCUUGAAAAGUUUUUAUAUAGUUAUAGAUUCUGAGUUGAGGUUUGUGUGACUUCAAUUUAACUGAUGUAUGUGGUUGUUAUGCUUAGUUGCUAGAAUUAAGGAGACUUAGCGUCUGGACAAGCUAAGCUGACGAGGAUAAAUGUAGCAAGGUGAGUCCUGAUACUCGAUUUUUUGGGUGAUUGUUGAUGUUGUGUUUCUUGUUUGAACCACAUCUAUGUCUGCUUCAGUCGUGUCUAAGACUUUGGUCGUGUAAAAAUAUUGAGGAUAAGUAAGUUGUGUAUGCAUACAGUUGCAAGUGUAUUUGUUGGAUGUUGUAUGGUUGCGAAUUGAUAAAUAGAUGCAUGAAGUAAUGUAUUUGAUAGUAACUAGCACAAUGAAUUGAUAAAAUGCAUGAAUAUAGUGUAUGCAGAGUACAGAGGUAUUUUAACUUGACGAGGUAGAUGAAGUUAGGAAUAAUUGGCGGAAUGGAGGAAUGAGCGAAUUGAUAAGGGAUGACAAGGGAGCAUGGCAGCAUUGUGGAAUGUAAUCGACUGGCUCACUAAAGUGACACCGCGAUAGCGAUAAGGUCCUUUAGGGCGACACCUCAAAAGAGUUAUAAGGUGUAAGACCAUAGCUCGAUUAUGGUAACCAAUAGAGUCCGCUAGGACAUUAAACAUGGGGUUAAAAAGUGAAAGGUCAUAGCUAGACUAUGACAACCAAUAAAGUCCAUAAGGACCUUAAAUAUUGGGUUACAAAGUGUAAGAUUAAAGCUCGACUACAACAACCAAUAGAGUUUACCAGGACAUUAAACAUGAGGUUACAAUGUGUAAGAUCAUAGCUCAGCUAUGACAACCAACAGAGUCUGCAAGGACAUUAAACAUGGGGUUACAAGGUGUAAGAUUAUAGGUUGGUUAUGAAAAUAAAUAAAAGUUCGCCAGUAUUGUGAACCCAUAAGCUGACCGGAUAAGGAUGAGAAAAGUAUGGUAUGAUACCCACGAAGAGUAUUAUAUUAGAUGAACAUGACACAUCUUUGAUCAUGGGUUAGCGGGAUAGUCAAGAAUCCGCCAAAUUAUUACGAAAAAGAAACAUGAAUAUGCAAUCUUCAAUGAUGAUAAGGAAUUAGGAUGGAACAACUAUACUAAGGUAUAAAAUAUUCACGGAAAUGAGCCUAUAAAUUUCAUAUAUUAAACCAAAAUUGAGGUAAUGAUGAGAUGCUCAAGCGAAACCUAAAUUUAAUGACCCAUGGGUAGAGAGGUGAAGCCAGGGAUGGGUAAGUUCGUCGAGGUUCGCUUAGGAUAAUGAUUGCCAAAACGAUCUAAUUGGUAGAACCUAUCAAGAAUCUACAAAUAGAAAGAAUGUUUGACCAAGUCUAGGUAACGUCAGAUGGACCGUAUAUGGCUAGCAGAAGAAAAAGUUUGCCAAGGGAUACCUUAAGCAGACAGUCUAUUGGAAAGUAGUGGAGGGUUAGGGUCAAUAGGUUCUAACUAUUAAACAUGAUUUUCCAAAAUAUUGGGAAUAAGGUAAACUGGUAGCUUAGGGUUAAAUUGUAAGGUAUGCCCCCUCUAAGUUGGUGGGGUAUCCAAUUAGUUAGUUUGUCAACACGUUUAAUACUGUGAGUUUUGGACUGGGGGAAGAGUUAAGGUGGAAAAUCCUAAGUUAUUCUAGUAUUAGAUGAACAGAUCAGGGUAGUGAUCCAAAGUUAAAUAGAACAUUAGUGGGAGAUAGACAGUGGUAGGUCCCAAAAUUUAUAUCCAAGUGUAAGGAUAACGGUGAGAGUUAAGCUUGUUAAGAUAUAAAUGGAACUGGAAUGAGGCGAAAUCAAGUUAGUACCGUAGAGAACCAUUAUCGUAAAGAAUAUGUUUAUGUCUAAAUUAGAGAAUAAGUUCGCCAUCGGUGAGCUGUGGAAAAAGGGCAAGGCAUCUACCAUGCCUGUGAAAUCUACGGAAGGUCAAGGAUAAAAAAAAAGUUUAAAAUCUCUGCUCGAAAUUUAUUUUCUUGAAGAUUUUGAAAUAUUGCUAUUUUAAAGUUUCAUAGAAUCUCAAUAAGUUCAUCUGAACUUACUAUUGUACUACCUUGGAUGCAGGGUCAAAUAAUCAUAGUCGUUAAGGGAAAUGAUCAAGUAAGACACCGCCAUUUUUGUGCAAAAGGUCGCGGUAGCCAUAUCCUACGCUGUCACGGACUUAGAUUUUUCCCACGCGAUCCAUACGACCUUAGGUAGUUUCUUUACUCAAAAAUGCCUAAGUCGGCCUAACUCACAACAAUUGAGGAUUCAACAGAAUUUCUCUAAGGCACCAACGAAGAACAGCAGAAGAACGAAGUAAGAACGAACUUUAAAGAUGAACAAAAGCCACAGAAAAGCAAGAACACUUGAGAGAAAAGUUUGAGUGAAUGCUCCCAAAAUUCUAUUAAUAACUGAAUAUAUUACAAUGAGAGGAGAGACCUCUAUUUAUAGUUGAGCCUCCCCAAAAUCAACGGUAUAAAUCAAAGUACAUCAAUGGAUACGAGUAAAAGUUAUCUAGAUAUCAAAUCUUUAAGAUUACAUAAUCGUAUCUUCUAAAGCUUGCAUUUAAUGUCUAGGAUCACAUAUCUCUAAAGAUCACCUUCCAUAUCUGCCAAGCAUAUCUUUGAAGAUCACUUUCCAUAUUUACCAAGCUCCGGGAUGGGCUUUUAAUCUCUCCAAGCAAUGAACCAGUCCGAUUGGGGCAAUGGACCAGUCUGAUUGGGCCAAAUGACCUCCCUCGAAUGCGAUGGAUCGUACGAGUUCAUCAUGGUUGCAGGUUCCCAUGCACAACCCAUGACAUUCCCCCUCAUUUGUUCUAACGACGCCCUCAUCGCGUCCACCUUAUAAAACUGAUUAAUUUUACCUUGGAACUGCCACAAUGUCUCGGCAGGUUCUUAACUUGCUUCGCUAUUGGGAAGUCUCUUCCAUCAAACUAAGUAUUCAUGCCACGGUCAAUGAUACUUUUGUCUAAUCACACGAUCUGUCUCAAUAUUUUCAACUUCACGAUUGUAAGAGACCUUUACCCUCAUUGGUGCUCGUUCAAACUUGCCUCGAUUCGGAUCCUCUUGAUCCCCAUGAAAUGGCUCAAGCAUACUUACAUAGAACACUAGCUGGACUUUGAGCUUUGCUAGCAACUCAAGCUUUUAGGCUACCUUGCUUACUCUAUUCACAGUUUUAAACGGCCACUCAUACAUUCACACAAUCCCCUUGUGUAAACACGUAUUUCACAAAAUCAAGUGUAGUUUGGCAAGGACUGAGUCACCCACCUAAAAUUGCACAUCUCUUCGGUUCUGAUCGGCUCACUUUUUACUGCGCUUACUUGCCUUGUGUAAACAAGCUCUAGCCAAGUUAUUCUUCCUUUCCCAAUCCUUCGUAAAUUGAUAAGCUGUCGGAUUUGGUCCUGUAUAAUGGGUCAGAACAGCGUUGGGUGUGAGUGGCUGUUGGCCCGUCAUUAUCUCGAACGAACUUUGAUUCGUGGGUCCACUUCACUACAAGUUGUAUAAAAAUUAGGCCACAUCUAACAAAUUUGGAAAAUCCCUUUGUGUGGCACUCACGUAGUGUCAAAGACAUGUCUCUAACAAUGUAUUUACUCGUUCGGUUUGCCCAUCGGUUUGCAGAUGCAUGCUCAUGAAAAACUUCAAGUCUUGAACAAGUCCAUCCAGAACUGGUCCGUAAAUCGCCCAUCUUGAUCACUGAUAAUAGACAGUGGUACUCCCUAAAAUUUCACCACGUGUCGAAGGAAUAAACGAGCUGCCUCAUCGCAGAGCACUCCUUGGUAGCUAGAAUAAACGUCGCAUACUUCAAAAACUUGUCUACCACAACAGCAAUACUCACAAACUAAUCAGACUUAGGCAAACCAACAAUAAAAUCUAUGGAUACACUCUUCCAUGGUCUUUCCAAAAUAGGAAAAGGUUGUAGCAAAUCGGUUGGAGUCUUUAACUCGACCUUGUCUUGUUGGCAUACUAAACAAGUUUUCACAUAGGUUUCAACAUCACCCAUGUGAGGGCAGUAGUAACGAUCCUCCAAAAGGGUCAAAGUACGGUGCAUCCCUGGGCCCACCCAUCUCGAGUCAUGACACUCCUUCAUGUCUUCCUUACGUAAUUUCCCAUAAUGGGGCACAUAUAGACGGUGCCCAUGAGUUUAUAGCAGCUCCACAUCAAGCCAAAAUCUCUUCGUUUUUCUCUCAUUGACAAGCUCAAUCAAAAUUUUGGCUGUGGGAUCAUAGGACAAUCCUUUUCAAAUGCGUUCUAAUAAGGAACCAUCAGGUUGGCUAAUUGCCGCUAACUCCAUCUUUCGGCUAAAUGUGUCAGCCACAAUGUUGGCACUCUCCGGCUUAUACUUCAUUGUGAAAUCAAACUCAACUAGGAAAACCUGCCAACGAGCCUGUUUGGGAGAUAACUUUUUCUAGGUUAAAAAAUAACUGUUGGCAACAUUAUCGGUAAUGACCACGAACCUGAACGUAGUAAAUAAUGUGUCCAUAUGCGUAAGAAGUGCACCACAGUGGUCAUCUCAUUUUCUUGGACUGUGUACCUCCACUCUGUCUCAUUAUUUUUCGACUCUCAAAAGCAAUUGGAUGUCCAUCUUGCAUCAGUACUCCCUCAAUGGCAAAAUCUGAUGCAUCCGUACAUACCUUAUAAGGCCUCGAAUAAUCCAGUAAAGCAAGUACGGGCUCCUUCGUCAUCACUUACUUCAAUUGAUAAAAGGCCCUCUCAUAUUGCGGAUUCCAAUCCCAUACCUUUCCCUUUUUCAACAUGUCCGUCAAGGGUGUGGUAAUUUUAGAGUAGCCUUUGAUUAAGUAUCGAUAGUAAUUUUCCAACCCAAAGAAAGAUCUCAACUCCGUCACCUUGGUUGGAGGCUCUCACUCAACAAUAACACGAAUCUUGCUCUCAUCCAUUUGGAUCUUGCCCCCUCCCACAAUGUGGCCUAGGAAUGACACUUCUUGUUAGGCAAAUGAGCACUUCUCCUCUUUGAUGAACAACUCAUUUUCCCUCAAAGUUUGAAAUAUCUCCCUCAAGUGUCCCACAUGCUCCUCGAGAGACUUACUAUACACCACAAUAUCAUCAAGGUAAACAACCACAAAACGAUCAAGAAAAUGUUGAAGUACCUUAUUCAUUAGGGUGAGAAAUGUAGUUGGGGCAUUCGUGAGUCCGAAAGACAUCACAAGGAACUCAUACGAACCAUACCGCGUCACACAAGCUGUCUUUGGCUCAUCUCGCAAUACUAAGUUGAUCAAACAAAUCCACUGUAAGAGGAAUAAGGUACCUGUUCUUCACAGUGGUCUUGUUUAGAGCCCGGUAAUCGAUGCACAUUCUCAACGACCUAUCAUGUUUCUUUUGAAACAACACUGGUGCACCAUAUGGAGAUUUAGAUGGCCUAAUGAAUCUCGCAUCUAAAAGUUCCUUCAAUUGUUUUCGCAACUCUUUUAAUUCCGGUAGAGACAUACGAUAGGGGGCCCUUGUUGGCGGUACCAUAUUGGACACUAACUCAAUCUUAUGGUCCACUUCCCUUUUGGGUGGCAAACUUCGAUGUGAGUGGACAUCACAUCCUGAAAAGACUGCAACAAUUAGCCCACUUCUUUUGGGAUCUCAUCAACAGAAUUAACAGUCUUCUCGAUCUUCAAGGUGGCUAACUAUGAGACUUCAUCUCUGCAUACUCCUUUAGCAAAUUGAAUUGCUGACAAUACUUUUUCCUCCAAGCUACUUUUCCUUGUCAUUCUCACCAUGCAUUGAUGGUUCAAACUCAAAAUCACCAUGUAAUUACUCGAAGGAACAAUAAAUGCAUUAACCCGAUCAAGAAAACUUAAUCCAACCACAAAAUCAUAGUAAUCAAGCGAUAUUACCUUAAUGGAUACCUUUCCGGUCCAAUUUCCAAGUUGGAGAUCACUCCCUUUACAACCCGUUGAUUGGAACACUUUCUGAUUUCAUUAUUUUGAUCCGACCUGACUCAUUCUCUAUCUUGAGGCCAAGUUUACGAGCAGCCUCUUCAGACAUGAACAAAUCAGACGCACCUGUGUCGACAAGCGCAUCUAAUUUUCUGUUGGCUACAAUGAUGUCUACAAACAUCAGCCCAUGACUCAUCCUAUCUUUGAACCCCUAGUAUUGAACCAAGAUUGUUAUCCUCCACACCUGACUCCACUUUUGUUUCCAUAGCAGAGAGUGCGACCUUCUUUGGACAGUAUUUGAUCAUAUAUGGGUCAUCACAAUGAAAGUAACUUAUAGGCCUACUCUUUCUUUUCUCCCAAGGCUUCUUAUUGUUGUCGUUCCUAGUAGACCUCUCUUUAUCUCCCCCACUAUUUCCCUUUGGAUUGAAUUUUGGUUUAGAAGAAUUAGGCUUGUCUUUCUUUCCACCAAAUUCAGAAAAUGAUUCUGCUACAAACAUGGCCUUGGUAAGCUCUUGGACUCCUUGGCGUUGCAACUCUUGUUUCGCCCAUGGUUUCAACCCAUCCAUGAAGGAGAAAAGUACCUCUUUCUCACCCAUAUCUAAGAUUUGAAGCAUAAGUUCGCUAAACUCUUGCACAUAAUUCCUCACAGUGCCUUAUUGCGUAAGCCAGUGCAACUUUGCUCGAGCCUCAUCCUAGACAUACUCUGGAUAAAACUGUACUUUGAACUCACAUCGGAACUCCUCCCGAGUCCCAAUUUCGAUCCCACCACGUCUCACAUCGGUGGACCUACGAUGCUACCACAACAAAGCAACGUCAGAAAGAUACAUAGUAGUAGUUACUUUAGUAGCAUCCUCCGUGAUGCAUUUAGCACAGUAGUAUUGCUCGAUUCCUCAUAGAAAGUUAUCCACAUCUCUUAGGGACCUUGUUCUGUUGAACUCAUUGGGCUUGGGAACAUCAACACCGGGCUUGAGUGCGACAGCGGCUAACCCUCCAUUACCCAAAACAACCUUGUAGAUUGUGAGUUCACCCUUGAGCUCCGCAAUCUCCUCUUUUAAAACCGUCAUCAAAGCCUCAAUAGCAUCAUCCCUACCAGUCAGCUUUUCAACAUUAUCAACACAUACACUUUGAGCUGCUCCUGCAUAGACUGUAACCUAUCAUUGAGCUUAUCAUCGACAUCAUCAAUCCUCUCCUUGAUAUCUCCAACGGAUUCCUCGAGAGUGACGACUCGAUCCUCUAAAGCUGACAGUAUGUCCCUCGAACGACUAGCUUUUCUAACCCUUCCACGGGUCUCCAUUCCCUCAACAUUCUCAACAACUUCUUUUAACAUCUUUCAACGGUGCCUUCGAACGUUGGCUUGGGUACUAACUGUCACGGACUUAGAUUUUUCCCACUCGAUCCGUGUGGCCUUAGGUAGUUUCUUUACUCAAAAAUGCCUAAUUUAGCCUAACUCGCAACAAUUGAGAAUUCAACAGAAUUCUUUUAAGGCACCAACGAAGAACAGCAGAAGAACGAAGUAAGAAGGAACUUGAAAGAUGAACAAAAGCCAUAGAAAAGCAAGAACACUUGAGAGAAAAAUUUGAGUGAAUGCUCCCAAAAUUCUAUUAAUAACUGAAUAUAUUACAAUGAGCAGAGAGGCCUCUAUAUAUAGCUGAGCCUCUCCAAAAUCAACGGUAUAAACCAAAGUACAUCAAUGUCUACGAUUAAAAGCAAUCUAGAUAUCAAAUCUCUAAGAUUAUAUAACUGUAUCUUCUAAAGGUUACAUUUAAUGUAUAGGAUCACAUAUCUCUGAAGAUCACCUUCCAUAUUUGUCAAGCAUAUCUUUGAAGACCACUUUCCAUAUUUACCAAGCCCCGAAGACGAGCUUUUAAUCUCUCCAAGCAGUGGACCAGUCUGAUUGGACCAAAUGACCUUCCUCGAAUGCGAUGGAUCGUACGAGUUCGUCAUGGUUACGGGCUCUCAUGCGCAACCCAUGACAUAUAGAGGGGCAAUCCUAAAGGCUACACCUCAAAGAUUAAAUUAGAUGUAUCAGUGUUAUAGGCUUAAAUCAGAAUUGUAAAUACUGUCAGAUUUGCUAAUGUGGUGAAUUUGUAAGAAUUGUAUAGUUCGAAUGAUGAAGAUUAUAACUAAAGUUAAAUCUUGUAAUUUGAUAGUGCCAAAGUAUAAACAAGUUAGUCUAGAAGUCUUGUUAAGUUAUUCGAGUUGGUUGUGACAUUCGAUACCAAGACCCAUGGACCGGGUCGGGCAUAGGCUGUUAUAAAUUUAGUGGUAUCAGAGUUUUAAUUUAGUCAAUCCUCUGGACAUUAAAAGUUAAAAAUAGCUCCUAUAGGCAUGUUACGAUAGGUCUGGUUUAGUCCCUUAUGUUACUAUAUAAGAUUAAUAUGUGUUAUGAAAGUGGAUGCAGUUGUUCGAAUUAUUGAGUCGACAUUGGGUGUACUAUAGCCGAAGGGAAGAUAAGUAAGGCAAAACGUGAAAGAUAAACAAAAAGAGUAAAAUUAAUCUUCAUUAAAAUAUAUAGAUAAUUUUUAAAAGAUACAUAAAUAUUUCAGUUCUCCUCUAUCGUGGACUCUUUCGGAGAUUCAAGGUUAGACACUUUCAAGUUUUGAACAUAGAAGAGUUCUUUAGAUUCCUUCCACUCUUUCUGAAAUUCCUCUUAGCUAGCUCUCGAGGGAUUGUAAACAUAGAAGCCAAGGUCCGUAUUGGUGAAUUGCACAGAGAGUUAAAAUUUACUUGAAUCAAGUCAAAGGAACCCGCAACAACCUGUGCGUACAGGAUCAGGUUAUCCCUUAACUUAGGUAGAAAAUCUUGAAUGCCUUGCUAGGUGUCUCGCCUUAUACUUCUCCAAGGCCUCAUCAUUCUCCUUCUAAAUGUGUUUCCUAUUGACGAGGUUCUACUUCUCGAGGGUUUCUAUUGGCGAACCUUUUCCUCUAACUCUUUUGCUCGAGUGAGCUUAUCAAUUUGCUAGACAAAAGCUUCAUAUGAUUGGCUGAGCUAGGCAAGAGACUACUUGCUUGAGAGAAAAGCUAUUUCAGAUUCAUCUCGCUUGGUCUCAGUUUCAACAUAAGCCUUUUAGAGGGCUCAGCUCAUGAGACCGCACUCCGCUGAUAACAUGAGAAGGAACCCUCUAACUUGAAUAGAGUGGGCUUGUGAAAGUCAGAAAAAGGGGAGGAAAGAUAAACGAACUCUUUCAAUUUCCUAGGGCAGCUCUUUGUUAUAUCUUUGCUGAACAGUAAAGGGAAAGAAAGGAUAUUAGCUCACGCUGAUAUGUUUUCGCUAGGAGAAAAAGGUUUUGACCUCCCCUAAAGGUGGAGUAUAGUAAAGGGCGCUAAUUGGGGAACUACGAAGAGCCUGGUGGGGAGUGCCAAAAAUCGCAAGAAGUGGAGCUGAGGUGGUAAUAGAAGGGUUCAUAGCAUUGACAGACUCAACAAUAGGAUCAAGAAUGAUUGAAGGAAGGAAUAGAGGACGUGUUGGAGAGUUUGAUGCUGGAAAUGUUGUCAUGGGCAGGAGAGUCAAACGUGGUUGAGGGGAAAAGGAUUCACCCUCUAAAAAGAUAGGUUACUUGCCAAGUUUAUUGCGGGAAAACCUAUUGCCGCUGUCUCCUUGCAUUAGAGGACCCUUUCAAGUCUCAACCACUUGCGGCUACUAUUACCAACUCGCACUUUCGAAGCAACUGCAUCUAUGGCUUGUUGUGCACUCUCAAACAAAAGCACUAUAUCCAUGACUUUGGGCUGGUAUAAGGGUGUUAGGGCAAGAGAUUAGUAGGACUUGUAGGAGGAAUUACAUGGUUAGUAAUAUUUUUAACUAAGUCUCUACCUGAUGACUCACCCAUGAACCACGAAGUUACGGAAAGCCAAUGGUGAGGAGGAAUAUUGCAGAAGGUGUAGAAGAAAUUUAUAGGCUCCUCUCAUUUUCCAACAAGAGUCCAAGCUAACUCACUAUUGGCCCCAAACGGCCACGCCACUUCAACAGAAUAAACCAUUCUAAGAUUCAUGCCAAGAUAAGGGUUUGAGGCUUGCCAACCAUUUGGGCUCCUUUACUCUAAAUAAUAGCAAAAGAUAUUUCUAAUAGUGAAAAGCCUUUUUAACUUCAGAGUUUGCCCCAGAUACAAUCUUUCAACUUGUGCUACUGCAUUUCUAUGUCCAAGGGCUGAGAUUGGCGGCAAGUAAAAUUUGUAGGAAUGGACCACUUUAUAGGAAAAUCGAAACUGCUGGAAAGCUUGGUUUCCACCAAAAUAAAUUUAUUGUGGUCCAGGCAAAAGUUUGAAGCCCAAUCCCUGAGAAUGGGUUUGCAACCCUAACGAACACUGAAGUUUGAAGCCCAAUCCCUAAGGUCUAACGUGUGUUUAAGUGAUGUAGAAACGUGUUGGAGAUAAAAAAAAUGAGCGAGAAUGACAUCUAGGGCAAGGGUAUCGCGAUAUCCAACCCUUGGAAUCGCAAUACCUCUGAUAGUAUAGAAGAGUAAGGAGGCAUUUUAGUGGUAUCGUGACAUCUUCCUUGGGUAUCGCGAUAUUCAUUUCUCAAGAAAGACCCCCAAGUUCAACACUGCUUGAGAUAUCACAAUAUCCUCUUCUGGGUAUUGUGAUAUCGUCUUCGUUAGAGGGACAAACUUAGAGAAAAAUAGUAACCUUUGUUUACCCGACCCAUUAAUCACACAAAGCUCGUGUAGAGGCAAUUUUGGCAUCGAAAAGUCAUCAGAACAUUAUUCAAAAUAGCCAAAAAUUACUGAGGAUGAGAGAGGCAUAUUUUUAGCAUAGUUUUAGGUUUACUUUUCUCUAGUUUUUUUUUGUUUUUCUCUGCACUUUUCUAGGGUUUUUAUUUUUCUCUUAUUCAACCUUAGAUUAGAGUUUAUUUUUUUACAUUUACUUCUUAUUCUUGAUGUUAGUUAAGUUAGUUAAUACUAUAGCUAAGAUUUAUUUACUUUUUCAGUCCCUAUACCUUGUUUUCAAGACUAUUUAAGUUUUAGUUUAAUGUAUUUAAGUUUAUUUCACUUCAAACCUGUUAAAGCUUGUUCCUUUUAUGUUCCUUGCCUUAGAUUUCUUUGUUAAAUGCUUUUAGUUUCAUGCUAUUUAGAUUUUCUUGCAUAAAAAUCUCUACUUUCACAUUUUUCUUAAGUUUAACUUUUAUGACUGCUUUGUUUUCCAUUGUUAUGUUUAUUUUCUUGACUUUGAGCAUGUGUAGGUAAAUCCUUAAGGAGGUUGGUUAAUAGAGAUGUGGAUAAACUAAAAUCUUUGGAUAAAUGACUAAAUCGUAACAAAUUGGACGAAUUUGAAUAGAACUAAGAUCUUAGGUAGUGACGCCUCUAAAGAAAUAUUAAGAUAAAGUGAGUCCAAAAGGUAAUCUUAUCACACACUCGUUCGUUAGUCCCCAAUCAACCGGAGAGAUCGAAAGAUAAACCAGACCUAAUUCAUCUAAGUCGAUAAAAUUGAGAUCGAAAAAUAAAAUGGAACCACUUGAUAAUUUAUACAGUCUAUGUCCCUAAUUCGAGAUUUGACGAACCACAUCAAAGUAAACCAACCCCCAUUAGUCAUUUGCUAGAUAGUCCCUCUAGUUUACAUUUCUUACAAUUUAGUCCUUAGAGUAGAAUAUUUAAUUUUCUUGCAAACUUAUCUUUUAUGAAUUGCCGUAAUAUAAAAUGGUAUUAGUAACCAUUUAGCCUCUAUUUUGUAUGCUAAUUAUUGCUCAAUCGCCUCUUCAUUUGGGUUUGAUCCUUGAAAUAAUUUGGUGUUUCAUUGUAACACUAUAAAUAUUAUAACUGACUUAUAUGCUUGCAGUAAAACUAACUUUAAAAACUGUUUAAUAAAUUAGUUGUUUUAAUGCGCAUGCACGUAGUUGGUCAUCAGGACAAAGGAGAUUCUAGCGUUUGGACAAGCUAAGCUAACGAGGAUAAAGGUAGCAAGGUGAGUCUCUAUACUCAUUUUUUUGGGGUGAUUGCUGAUGUUAUGUUUCUUGCUUGAACCACAUCUAUCUCUACUUGAGUUAUGUUUAAGACCUUGGUCGUGUAAGAAUAUGAGGGAUAAGUAAGUUGUGUAUGCAUAUGGUUGCAAGUGUAUUUGUUGGAUGUUGUAUGAUUGCGAAUUAAUAAAUAAAUGCAUGAUGUAAUGUAUGUGAUAGUAACUAGCACAAUGAAUUGGAUGAUAUGCAUGAAUAUAGUGUAUGCAAAGUACGGAGGAAUUUUACCUUGACGGGGUAAAUGAAGUUAAGAAUAAUUGGCAGAAUAGAGGAAUGAGUGAAUUUAUAAGGGAUGACAAGUGAGCAUGGAAACAUCAUGGAAAUUAGUCAAUUGACUUGCUUGAACGACAAUGUGAUGGCGGUCUAUCAACUCUAUAGAGAGACAUCACGACGAUGGUAAGGUCCUUCGAGGCGAAAUCUCAAAAGUGGUACAAUGUGUAAAACCAUAGCUCGACUAUGACAACCAAUAGAGUCCACCAGAUCAUUAAACAUGGGGUUAAAAGGUUUACCCAUAGCUUUACUAGACAACCAAUAGAGUCCGCUAGGACAUUCAAUAUAGGUUUACAAGGUGUAAGGCCAUAGCUCAACUAUAGCAACCAAUAAAGUCCGUCAUGACAUUAAACAUAGGGUUACAAGAUGUAAAACCAUAGCUCAGUACAACAAGAAAUAGAGUUCGUUAGGACAUUAAAUAUAGGGUUACAAGGUGUAAGACUUGACUACGACAACCAAUAGAGUCCGCUAGGAUAUUCAACAUGGGGUUACAAGGUGUAAGGCCAUAGGUCGAUUAUGGAAACAAAUAAAAGUUUGACAAUACAGUGAACCAAGAAGCUGACCGGAUAAGGAUGAGAAGAAUACGGUAUGACUCCCACAGGGAGUAUUAUAUUGGAUGAAUACGAUGCGUGUUUGAUCGUGGGUAAGUGGGAUAGUCAAGAAUCUGAAAAAUUGUUACGGGAAAGAAACAUGAAUAUGCGAUCCUCAAUUAUGAUAAGGAAUUAGGAGGGAACAACUAUACUGAGGUAUGAAAUAUAUGCGGGAGUGAGUCCAUAGAUUUCAGAUAUUAAACCAGAAUUGAGGUGAUGAUUAGAUGCUCAAGCGAGACCUAAAUCUAGGGACCUAUAGGUGAGAGGUGAAGCCAGAGGCAGGUAAGUUUGUUGAGGUUCGCUUAGGGAUAAUGAUCGCCCAAACGGUCUCACUGGUAAAGUCUAUCAUGAAUCUACAAAUAGGAAGAAUGUUUGACCAAGUAUAGGUAAUGUCGGAUGGACCACAUAUGGCUAGUAGAAGAAGAAGUCCACCAAUGGCUAUCUUGAGCAGAUAGUCCGUCGAAAAGUAGCGAAAGGUAAGGAUCAAUAGGAUCAAACUAUUAAACCCAAAUUUCCAGAAGAUUAGGAACAAAGUUAACUAGCAGCUUAGGGCAAGAUUGUAAAGUAUGAACCCUCUAGGUUGGUGGGGCAUCCAUCAGUUAGUUUGUCAACAUGUUUAAUACUGUGAGUUUGGAUUGGAGGAAGAGUUAAAGGUGGAAAAUCCUAAGUUUUUUUAGUAUUAGAUGAACGAAUCAGGUAAGGGUCCAAAGCUAAAGAGAGCAUAAGUUGGAGACAGACGGUGGUAGGCAACGAACUUUAUAUCCAAGUGUAAGGAUAAUAAUGAGAGGUAAGCUUGUUAAGAUAUAGAGGGAACUGGAAUGAGGCGAAAUUAGACCAAUACCAUAGAGAGCCAUUAUCGUAAAGAAUGUGAUUAUGCCUAAAUUAGAGAAUAAGUUCGCCAGCGGUGAGCUGUGGAAAAAAGGUAAAGCAUCAACCAAGCCAAUGAAAUCUACGGAAGGCCAAGGAUAAAUAGGGAGUUUGGAAUCUCUGCUUUAAAUUUAUUUUCUUGAAGAUUUCAAAAUAAUUCUAUUUUAUAGUUUCAUAGAAUCUCACUUAGUUUAUUUGAACUUACGAUUGUACUACCUUGGAUGCAAGGUCAAAUUAUCAUAGUCGUUGAGGGAGAAGAUCAAGCCAAACACUGCCAUCUUUGUGCUAAAGGGCGUGAUAGCCAUAUCAUGUGUAUAUAGGGGCACUCCUAGAGGCUAUGCCUCAGAGAUUAAAUUAGAUGUAUCAAUAUUAUAGGCUUAAGUUAGAAUUGUAAAUACUGUCAGAUUUGCUAAUGUAGUGAAUUUGUAAUAAUUGUAAAGUUAGAAUGAUGAGGAUUAUAACUGAAGCUAAAUUUUGUAAUUUGAUAGUGCUAAAGUAUCUAAGCAAGUCAGUCUAAAAUUAUUGUUAAGUUAUUUGAGUUGGUUGUGACAUUCGGUACCCGGACUCAUGGAUCGGGUCAGGUAUAAGGUGUUAAAAUCUUCAUAAUUGGUAUAUUUGUAGCUUUAAUGAGCUUUUGAUAUCCACAUUUUUUGUACCAUUAUGCUCUUCAUAUCUUAUUUUGUUUAAUAAAAUUUGGUAUUUAGAAAAAGGGAGAAAAUCAUUAAGAUAUGAAUCUAGUAAGUAGGAGUACUAGAAAUAAGAUUUGCUUGUGAUUUUAUUAAACCAUCUUAGCAUGCAAUUAUUUGAUUCUUAAUUCAUACCUUGUUCACAUUUCUUGUUAAUAAUUGACAUAUUUGUUGAAGUAUCAAUUUGCAGCUUUCAUUAGGCAUAAAUUUGGUUGAACCUUUAUGCAAUUAGAAUUUAUUUUGUAUUAUCCUUAGAUAAUUGCAUAAAGUGCUUGUUUCAAAUGAAUUUUAAGUAUGCUUCUUUGUCAUAUUUUUUUUUCUUGAAGUUCAUUGUUGAGUAUGAGAAUACAAUUGACAUAAGCUUCACAUGGAUAUAUUAUGACUUAGUGUGUUCUUACAAUCUUUAUACUCCGCAAGCUUUAAUUUUCAAAAUGUCUUUAAAAUUGGUAUCGUUCUUCAAAUGGUUUAAUUGCUUUUUGAUAUACCAAAAAGGGGGAGAGAAAAAAUGAAAUUUGCAUAUGCAUAGGUUUUACAUCUUUUUACUUCUAUAUGCUUAUGCAAGUGAAUCAAUCUUCAUGCAUGUAUGCUUAUUGAUAUAUCGUUGAAAUGCAUGACAUUUAAUGUUUAUUGAUAUAUUGUUUAAAUGCAUGACAUUUAUAAAGUCUUGGACAUAUCUCUUGUUGAAUUUCAUGUAUGCUUUUCUCAUAUCUCUUGUUGAAAUUUAGUUGCUCUUGUUUAAGUGUUUGUGCUUAACUUUUUUCAAGGAAUGUUUUAUUAAGGGAGAGUUAUGUUUUGAAAAUGUCUAAAUGGUUUGGAGGUGUUUUAAAAAAUAUAAAUUUAUUUUAAAUUUUUGAUAUAUCAAAAAGGGGGAGAUUGUUAGCUAUGAUGUCCCAAGCUUUUGAUAUAACAACAUUUAAGAUAAAUUUAUAUAUUAUGUUUUUCUAAGUCAUUUGAUGAAAAUCUAGUUGAAAAUUUUAUUAAACAUUUUCAAAGACUUGCAAUAUACUCAAGAAAAUGUUUUAAAUGUGUUUUUAAUUUUUCUAAAUGUUUUUGAGUUAACACCAAAGUGUCCUAAAGUGUUUAACAUAUUUUUAAGGCACUUUGAUAGUCAAAUCUUGAGGCAUAGGACCAUAAGUCUCGAGAAUGAAAGUUCAAAUGCAUAAUUCUACUCUCAAAGCUACAUGUUUAGAGACAUUGGCCUGUAUGUCAGAGACAUAAGCCUAUAUGUUUCGAGACAUAGCCUGCCAACAACUAUAUAACAAUUAUUUUUCAGUCAUGUCUCGAGACAUCUUGCCUAGUCUUGAGACCUAGGUUGUAGGGACAAUUUUUAAGCUUGAAAUUAAUGCUUCCAACGGCUAGAAUUCAUCCCCAAUGGCCAUAAAUGCCCUCAAACUUGUUCCUUAAUAUAAAUACUCUUUAAGAACACUUCAGAGAGCAACAUCCAAGCAAAAAUUUUAAGAUAAAAACAUGUCAUUUCUUUAUUUUCUUCAUGUUCUCUUGUACAUAUUCAUUGAGAGUUUAUUGUAGUUUUUUUUUUCUUAUUAUCAUAUCUUUACUUUUUAAGCCUUAAUUUGCAAACACACAUCUAAUAGUUCAUUGUUAGUUUGCACAUCUUCUCUUUGUUGUAAAGAGUAUACGCAAGGUUUUUAAGGUAUAAAACCUAAAAUAGAUUAUAAGGGUUACUACUUUAACCUUGUAAAAGCUUGAUGGUUCUAGGUUAGCCAUGAAAGCUAGGGAGAAGGUUCUAUCUUAGCUUUGUGAAAAAAAAUAAGGAUUGUAAAAGGUUAUACCUUGGUAACAAUUCAAGUAUAGUGAAUUGGAAAAUCCUUAGUUUAACUUUUCUUUUAUUUCCUUAUUAUUUAAAAACAUUUGUAGAUGUGUGGGCCACGAAGAAAUUAUUGCAAGAAGGGAUGGCUUGGGGAGUUGGUAGAGGGGAUAACAUAUCAAUAUGGUAGAAUGCUUGGGUUCUUGGAUUGAAGAAUCACAAAAUUCAAGAGUUGGUCAGAAAUCAUAAUUUAGACAAGGUGGUUGAUCUGAUGACCCAAUUCUUAGACAAUGGAAGGAAGCGAUCAUUACCAGUACGUUUGUGAGAAGAGAGGCUGAAGCAAUAUUGGACACUCUUUUGGCGAGGUACCCACGAGAAGACUAUAGGGUCUGGAGUGGCGAACCAAUAGGGGAUUACACGAUGAGAAGUGGUUAUAGGAGGUUAAUAAUGGAAGAUCCUAGUCUAACUACAGAUGAUGCUGAAAAUACAGUAAUAAAAUUUUACAAAAAUCUAUGACAGACAGAUCUUCUUGGAAAAGUGAAAAUAAGAAACUGGAAAGUCUAGAUUAACUUCAUUCCUACUUUUGACAAUCUACAGUUCAAAACAGUGAGUAAUUCCGCUCUAUGCUUUCGGUGCAGUGGAGGCUCAGAAUCACUAGAACACUUUUUUAGGGACUGUCUUGCAAUUCAAGGAAUUUGGAAUACGUUAGGAUUUCAGGGGUUUGAUGAAGAAGAAAACAUGAAUUUCCAACAGUGGUUAGAGGGAAUGCUUACAAAGCUGACAUACUGUCAAAAAAAGCCUCUUCUGUAGCAUCUGGGCUAUUUGAUUGGGACAGAAUAAGGCACUGCAUGAAGGGAUUCAUCAGACAGUAAUAGAAACAAUGAAGUUUAUUCAAACAUAUCUAGGAGAAUGGGAAAUGGCUAAUAAUAACUUACCUGGCCAUCGGAUCGAGGAUCAAUGAAGGCCACCGGAGAGAAAUACAGUAAAAAUAAACUUCAAUAGAGUCUUUGAUAAUCAGAUGCAAAAAUUAGGCUCGACUAUAGUGGGUAGAGAUUUGAGGGGGUUUUCUGGGAUCCAGACUAAUGCUGAAUAAUCAAGUACCUACGCCUUUUUUGGUAGAGGCGGUGGCCUGUUUACAGGUUGUACAGUGGGGAAUAGAAAAGGGAUAUCGCCGAGUAGUGAUCGAAGGGGACGCUUUUAGGAAAUGCAAUUUGGCGUUUUGAUUUUCUAUGGAAGAGCAAGGUACUUGGUCUUUUGAGAAGCUGGGCAUUGGGGGUAUCAAAAUAGGGACUAGGUUUUUUAGGAAGGUUUUGUUUUGUUUGGGCUAGGGUAGAAGUAGUUUGUUUUUUUCGGUUUGGUUUUUUAGUUUGUUUACUAUUUU
rnacentral:lncRNA from 1 species